GACAGUGUGGCGCAGUGGUUUGAGUGUUGGACGGCAACUUUGGGGACCAGGGUUCAAAUCCCUGCAGCGCCG